rnacentral:rRNA from 1 species
AAUAUUGCGCAAUGGGGGGAACCCUGACGCAGCAACGCGCCGCGAGUGAAGAAGGCCUCCGGGUCGUAAAACUCUGUCAUUAGGGAAGAAGACGCGACGGUACCUAAUGAGGAAGCCCCGGCGAACCACGUGCCAGCAGCCGCGGUAAUACGUAGGGGGCGAGCGUUGUCCGGAAUCACUGGGCGUAAAGGGUGCGUAGGCGGCCUUUUAAGUCAGGUGUGAAAGCCCACGGCUUAACCGUGGGAUUGCAUUUGAAACUGGAAGGCUUGAGUAUCGGAGAGGGUAGUGGAAUUCCCAGUGUAGCGGUGGAACGCGUAGAUAUUGGGAGGAACACCAGUGGCGAAGGCGACUACCUGGACGAAAACUGACGCUGAGGCACGAAAGCUAGGGGAGCAAAC